AAAUUUAUCGGUAUAACCGUAGACAGUAGGUGCUUAACGCUUAAUAUCCUACCGAGGUUUUCGUUCGAUACAAGCAAUUGUUCAUGAUCGAUACCUUGAGAGCCUUAUGCAUGUCUGCGAAGGCUCUUU
rnacentral:sRNA from 1 species